rnacentral:rRNA from 1 species
UGGGGAAUAUUGGACAAUGGGCGGAAGCCUGAUCCAGCAACGCCGCGUGAGGGAUGACGGCCUUCGGGUUGUAAACCUCUUUCAGUACCGACGAAGCGAAAGUGACGGUAGGUACAGAAGAAGGACCGGCCAACUACGUGCCAGCAGCCGCGGUAAUACGUAGGGUCCGAGCGUUGUCCGGAAUUAUUGGGCGUAAAGGGCUCGUAGGCGGUUUGUCGCGUCGGGAGUGAAAACAGCGGGCUUAACUCGUUGCUUGCUUUCGAUACGGGCAGACUAGAGGUAUGCAGGGGAGAAUGGAAUUCCUGGUGUAGCGGUGAAAUGCGCAGAUAUCAGGAGGAACACCGGUGGCGAAGGCGGUUCUCUGGGCAUUACCUGACGCUGAGGAGCGAAAGUGUGGGGAGCGAACAGGAUUAGAUACCCUGGUAGUCCACACCGUAAACGUUGGGCGCUAGGUGUGGGGUCCUUUCCACGGAUUCCGUGCCGUAGCUAACGCAUUAAGCGCCCCGCCUGGGGAGUACGGCCGCAAGGCUAAAACUCAAAUGAAUUGACGGGGGUCAUAGCCU